UAAGAGCAUUGGCAUCUAUUAGGAGGUGACACAGACCUUCUUGGUGAGAGGAAUCCUGCCUUAGGAAGGAAUGAAUGUGUGAAAUGCUCUGCCAGUCUUUGGUGUGGGAGUGGGAGAGGAGAGCGUCAAAGAUGACUUCAAAGAACCUGGGCUUGAGUGUUGAGGAAAGAUGGCAAAGCUACUGAGAUGAGAUCUUUAGCAGGAAAAGUAGGGUUUAUAUUAGGGAGGCUGGGGCAUGGGAGAGGUCAAAGAUGGGGGGAGAACAUAAGUUUAGUUUAACUUGGUGGGACUCUUCCCACAAGGAAAAACCUUCUUCACCUUGUUACACAUUAAGAUCACCUAAAGAGCUUUUAAAAUUGAUAAUUGAGUCUCAUCCAAGACCAGUUACGCUUAUAUUUCUGAGUACAGAGCCUGUUUUUUUUUAAAUAUUCACAAGAAGUCUAGUGUGUGGCAAAAUGGGAAUCACGAUCUAGAUCAGUAUUCUCCUUGUGGCCCAUGUGUUACAAUCACCUGGAGGCCUUAUGAACCAUACUCAUGUCUCGGACCCACUACCGAAGAGUCUAUUUAGUGAGUCUGGGAUAGGACCUGGGCAUCUGUGUUAAAAUGAAGUCUGUCUGGAUAAAAGCAAUACAAUGUAAUGCAGCCAGAAUUGAGAACCACUGACCUAGAUAGUUAAUUUUCACUGUGAAUAAUCAGUGUUUUCAGGGUUGCGAGCCAUGGCAAGGAGGCACUAUGAAAGAGUCUCUUUAAACUUUUGGCAGGUCCAGAAUUAGCAUGAAAUUGCUGGGUGCCAGCAGGAGCAUGGGGACAGGAGCAGUCAGAGGAUGAAUCCUAUGGACUCUGAAGACCCAACCUGGAUCAACACCUGGUGUUUGAACCAUAAGGGCUUGUUAGUGCUAAUCCUGUAUCACUUAGAGAUGGUGGGAAAUGGCCUGAAAAGGCGUAUAGAGUAUAAAAUGUCAUGGUGCCAUCUGAACCCGUGUUGUCCCAUUCAAAUUGAGCUUUCUCUACAGCAGCACCUGAAAAACUCAACUUCUACCAUUUCCUUUGAGGAGGUAAAUUCAGUCUGAGAUUU